rnacentral:rRNA from 1 species
UACAGAGGUCCCAAGCGUUGUUCGGAAUCACUGGGCGUAAAGGGUGCGUAGGCGGUAUGGUAAGACUCAUGUGAAAUCUCUGUGCUCAACGCAGAGGCUGCAUGAGAGACUGCUGUGCUGGAGGAUUGGAAGGGAGACUGGAAUUCUUGGAGUAGCAGUGAAAUGCGUAGAUAUCAAGAGGAACACCAGUGGCGAAGGCGAGUCUCUGGACAAAACCUGACGCUGAGGCACGAAAGCCAGGGGAU